CAUGGCGCCACGCGGGACUGGAGAGGUUGUUAGUCGGCUGCUUUUAUACACAAAGAGAGUUAUGAUAAAAUAAUAUUUGAUGCCACCCGGAAUUAUUUCACAAGAAUGAAGAUUCAAGUCCCGCUGAUGUCCACUCCGUGUCCCGCUGAUGUCCGCUCCGUGUCCCGCUGAUGUCCGCUCCGUGCCCGGCUGAUGUCCACUCCGUGCCCGGCUGAUGUCCGCUCCAUGUCCCGCUGAUGUCCGCUCCGUGCCCGGCUGAUGUCCACUCCGUGCCCGGCUGAUGUCCACUCCGUGUCCCGCUGAUGUCCGCUCCGUGCUCGGCUGAUGUCCGCUCCGUGUCCGGCUGAUGUCUCUUUCAGAUGAUUCACGGUGCUUCAGGAAGGACCAAAGUACAUGCAGCAGGGCUCGAUCAGCAUCGAACAAACAUCACAGCAGCCAGAGAAGAACUGCAGCACAACAACUGGAUACUGUGCAAGAUUUGUUUACCUCUACUGUAUGUUUUCCAGCAAAAGAAUCCAAUGGGACCAAACUCAAUGUUUUAACUGUCAUUAAAAAUCAUUGAUUUCUCCUUCUGUUUGUACUCCUGAGCUGGUUAGCUUCUGCAGCAGGACUGGAGACCGAUAAAGCAAAUAAAACAUUCUGUUUCUGA